rnacentral:rRNA from 1 species
GAUGAACGCUGGCGGCGUGCCUAAUACAUGCAAGUCGAGCGAACAGACGAGGAGCUUGCUCCUCUGACGUUAGCGGCGGACGGGUGAGUAACACGUGGAUAACCUACCUAUAAGACUGGGAUAACUUCGGGAAACCGGAGCUAAUACCGGAUAAUAUAUUGAACCGCAUGGUUCAAUAGUGAAAGACGGUUUUGCUGUCACUUAUAGAUGGAUCCGCGCCGCAUUAGCUAGUUGGUAAGGUAACGGCUUACCAAGGCAACGAUGCGUAGCCGACCUGAGAGGGUGAUCGGCCACACUGGAACUGAGACACGGUCCAGACUCCUACGGGAGGCAGCAGUAGGGAAUCUUCCGCAAUGGGCGAAAGCCUGACGGAGCAACGCCGCGUGAGUGAUGAAGGUCUUCGGAUCGUAAAACUCUGAUAUUAGGGAAGAACAAAUGUGUAAGUAACUAUGCACGUCUUGACGGUACCUAAUCAGAAAGCCACGGCUGACUACGUG